GACGAACGCUGGCGGCGUGCUUAACACAUGCAAGUCGAACGGUAAGGCCCUUUCGGGGGUACACGAGUGGCGAACGGGUGAGUAACACGUGGGUGAUCUGCCCUGCACUUUGGGAUAAGCCUGGGAAACUGGGUCUGAUACCGGAUAGGACUACGCGAUGCAUGUCGUGUGGUGGAAAGCUUUUGCGGUGUGGGAUGGGCCCGCGGCCUAUCAGCUUGUUGGUGGGGUGAUGGCCUACCAAGGCGACGACGGGUAGCCGGCCUGAGAGGGUGUCCGGCCACACUGGGACUGAGAUACGGCCCAGACUCCUACGGGAGGCAGCAGUGGGGAAUAUUGCACAAUGGGCGCAAGCCUGAUGCAGCGACGCCGCGUGAGGGACGACGGCCUUCGGGUUGUAAACCUCUUUUAGUAGGGAAGAAGCGAAAGUGACGGUACCUGCAGAAAAAGCACCGGCUAACUACGUGCCAGCAGCCGCCGUAAGAC
rnacentral:rRNA from 1 species